UCUGCAUGGUGCGUUCUUAAGGCCAUCUUCAAAAUUAUAUAGCAUGAUGUUUUUCCAUCCAUCUUUUGGGUAGCUAUUUAUUCUCAAUGAUAUUGAGCAUCUUCAUGCACUUAACCUUCACCUAACUCCUAUAACACACAAUUGGAAGCUUCAUGUACUCAACCCUACUAGACAUCUUCAUGUGCACAAACUUCAGUGCAGAGCUCUCUAUACCAAAGCACCACUAUUUCCCACUUUUAAUUCGCCAAAGCACU
rnacentral:lncRNA from 1 species